rnacentral:ncRNA from 1 species
UGGUUGCCAUAGCUCCGAGCUCAAUGUGCUAAGUCUCAGGAUAUGCAGGUUGAGCCAGUGGUCGAUUACCACAAGGGCAUGAUUGGAAAUGAUUAUGCCUCCCGUGUUUGGAAAGGUGUUCCGUGGCGCAACAA